rnacentral:piRNA from 1 species
UUAGAAGUGUUUUGCCAAGUCACAA